rnacentral:rRNA from 1 species
AAGAGACAGCAGUAGCCGCGGUAAUACGUAGGGCGCAAGCGUUGUCCGGAAUUAUUGGGCGUAAAGAGCUCGUAGGCGGUCUGUCGCGUCUGGUGUGAAAUCCCGAGGCUCAACCUCGGGCUUGCAUCGGGUACGGGCAGACUAGAGUGCGGUAGGGGAGACUGGAAUUCCUGGUGUAGCGGUGGAAUGCGCAGAUAUCAGGAGGAACACCGAUGGCGAAGGCAGGUCUCUGGGCCGCAACUGACGCUGAGGAGCGAAAGCAUGGGGAGCGAACAGGAUUAGAUACCCCAGUAGUCCCUGUCUCUUAUAC